GGUGUUGCAUGGCUGUCGUCAGCUCGUGUCGUGAGAUGUUGGGUUAAGUCCCGCAACGAGCGCAACCCUCAUCCUUAGUUACCAUCAGGUAAUGCUGGGGACUUUAAGGGAACUGCCAGUGAUAAACUGGAGGAAGGUGGGGAUGAUGUCAAGUCAUCACGGCCCUUAUGGAGUGGGCUACACACGUGCUACAAUGGUGGCUACAAUGGGCUGCAAAGUCGCGAGGCUAAGCUAAUCCCUUAAAAGCCAUCUCAGUUCGGAUUGUACUCUGCAACUCGAGUGCAUGAAGUUGGAAUCGCUAGUAAUCGUGGAUCAGCACGCCACGGUGAAUACGUUCCCGGGUCUUGUACACAC
rnacentral:rRNA from 1 species